GACGAGCGCUGGCGGCGUGCUUAACACAUGCAAGUCGAACGGAAAGGCCCUUCGGGGUCCUCGAGUGGCGAACGGGUGAGUAACACGUGGGUGAUCUGCCCUGCACUUUGGGAUAAGCCUGGGAAACUGGGUCUAAUACCGAAUAGGACCACGCGCUUCAUGGUGUGUGGUGGAAAGCUUUUGCGGUGUGGGAUGGGCCCGCGGCCUAUCAGCUUGUUGGUGGGGUAAUGGCCUACCAAGGCGACGACGGGUAGCCGGCCUGAGAGGGUGACCGGCCACACUGGGACUGAGAUACGGCCCAGACUCCUACGGGAGGCAGCAGUGGGGAAUAUUGCACAAUGGGCGCAAGCCUGAUGCAGCGACGCCGCGUGAGGGAUGACGGCCUUCGGGUUGUAAACCUCUUUCACCAGGGACGAAGCGUAAGUGACGGUACCUGGAGAAGAAGCACCGGCCAACUACGUG
rnacentral:rRNA from 1 species